rnacentral:misc_RNA from 1 species
CUCAUUUUUUGCCCUCCUCUUACCUUUUGGGUCCCGCCUUAAGUGGCUCCCAACGACACCAAAGUUGGCGUUGGCGAGCGAGUAGGAAAGCGCGCACGCGCUUCAUCAGUAGAACGCCAGGGAAGGGACUGCGGCGCGAGAUCGGUACGCGUGCCCGAAAAAAAAAAUCAGACCAACACAGGGGGCGUGCUGCGACUGCAACAGCUCCGCACCUCUCUUCCUUUCUCUUUGUUGCACGCAGACACCACCACGAACCAACGUGCACACGAAGUAGGCACACCUACAGGUACGUGGAAGGAGCAGCGGAAGCGAGCGACGCUACUCGAUCCCUGCCUGCAUACUUAGUCUCUCUGUCUCGUCCUAAGAGGGGGAGGGGUAGCACAGGAAUGAGUAGCGGCAAUCGCGAAGGCGGCUGCGGGGGCCUCAGCCGCUCUUCACCCGGCAACUUCACGGAACACCUCCACUCUUCGCAAGGCAACCGCGCCAGCGAGGCAGGCACGGACACCAUCAUGUCCGGGGGCAAUGCUGGCAACAACGCCGAGGAGCGCGCUGUCGCGUUCGCCACGGCCGAUCACGGAGUCGUCAGCCUCAACUUGAAUGACCUCUCCAGCGCGCUCGGCGUUCGCAGAGCAGAUGUCGUGUCGCAAGGGCUGAUGUUUCAGGCCCAUUCAGCACCCUCUUCUCGUACUAACCGCUCCCUCCAGGGAAGCGCCCUCCAGACAACGGGAGAAAAUCUGCUGAGCUCCUUUCCUGCCACCGGCACCACCGCCGCAGCGGAGACCCCGUUGCCGACCGCAGAGGCUGCUUACAGUCUCCACAACGUUCCCAAGGCUCUUCCGUCGCCGCCGUGGCCAGCGCACUACCGGCGGCGACACAGCACGCUUCGCGGCACCCAGCUAGACCUCGACCCGUUGAGGAUGCCCGCCGGAACGAUACGACUGUCACCGCCGCCUCAGUCAACAUCGCCGUCCCCCUCAAUCAUCCGUGCGUUCCCGUCGUUACCGUGCCGCGGCACACCGCCACCAGGUCGCUCCAACGCGCUGCGCUGGGCACUAGCUGGCGACAACGGUGCUGCCACAGCCUUUGCCGGCAAUGUCCCGUCUUCCAUCCGUCGCGCCGGCGCCGGAGCUGCCAUGCUCGAACAUGAAGCCGCAGAGCGACGCCCGCCAGCGGAUGACGAGGAGGUGUCUGCGUACGGCGACGGCGCGCCGCUGCUGAGUGGGAUAGCGUCGCUGCAGGAGUGCCGCAGCGGUGCCGCGUCCGCCCCACGCAACACACCAGCCUCUGCCUUUCGCACAAGCGACACGGCAACUUCCCUUCCGCUGUCGCCAACGGACAGAGGAGAGGGGCAGCCGCGUCAGCAUGGGGAGCACGAGGCGGUGACGUCGGCGGCCCCCAGCGUUCCCUCACGCCGUGUGCACUUCUCCGACGACGUCAUCGAGUCCAUUCACGUUGCGCGGCAGGAGGAGGAUUACAUGCGCCUACUGGUCGUGUACAACCGUCCGUGGUACGCCUACGCGCUCCUUGUCCUCUUCAGUCUCUUCUUCGGGCUGUCGUACGCCAGCGUCAUGUACCUGGAAGAGGAUCAGUCGGAGCUGAGGGAUCGCGCCACGUCGGUGGCGUUUGUGCUCUUCCUUUUUGUAGGGGCGGGGGCCGUCACGCUGACGGCGCACCUCCUGUUGUGCAGGCAGCUAGACAGCGAGGAGGAGCCGAGCUUCAUCGAAGACGCGGGCCAGCGGCGGCGGCUACCGAAGCUGUGGUCCUACAGCGUACUUUUUUUUAGCGCAUCAGUAGCAGCCAUUGCUUUGAGCCACUUCAUCAGCUUGACCGUAGCGGUCGUCAUGGUGAUCUCGCUCGCGUGCCACCUCGUCGCGGAGCUCCACAACCGCGGUGACGGCGGGGAUUGUGUGACGCGCCAGGAUGCCCUCGGCUGCGCGACGGCUGGCCUUGGCGCGGCUCUGGUGGUGCUCGGCGGUUUAUGGCAAGAGAUGGCGACCUACCACGCCUCGCUGGGUGAAGCCCUUCUCUCGCUGUUGGGAUGGGGGUCGAGCGUGAUCGUCUCUGGCGUGUGCUGGGCGUGCUUCACGCGGCAGUUGCGUGAGAUGAGCCAGCGUGUGAGCCAGCAGUUCCUGCUCUCAACCUCGCUGGUGAUGUGUACAGUGGCGCUUGGCAUUGGGACGUACGUGGCAAACGUGGCCCUGACAUCUGAUGAAGCCAGCAGCGCCGCACUUGCUGGUGUAGCUGCCCAGACCACAGGCGGAGCUGAGGCGGCCAGCGCACUACAGUUGUUGGACCUCGUGCUUCUCCCUUGCCACCGGUUUUUCCCUGAUGUGGUGGUGCUGCUCGGUGGGGGCCUCUGCUCCCUCUUGUGCUGGUACGCCUACCACGCCGUGUCCUUCUACGUCGACCACGCUUCCAGCGCCGCGUGCAUGGUGCUGGGUGCCGUGCUCUCCGCUGUUCCUCUCAUUGUUGCUCGGGUGCUGCGCAUCGGGUGGGCAGAUGUCACCGCAUCAGCAUUGCUGCAGGGGUCGUUGGCAGUCAUGGUGGUUGGAGUGGUCGCGGUGGAGGCGGGGUCGGCGGUGGUGGUGUGGUCCGGUUUUCGGUAUCGUCGCGAGGUGGAGAUUCGAAUUGUGCUGGAGAAAAGUCGCUUCUCUUUUCCGCGCGCAAACGCCAAUGCAUAAACUCACGCAUUCACGGAAGAGGCACCGACGGAGGAGGGGCGCUGGGCUUGGCCAGUCCUAAGGUGUUAUCGCUGUUCUGCCGCCAUCUCCCUCUCCUUGUGUUUUGUAGGACCCGCACUAGCCACCUCCAAGCAUCAAGCCGGGGCUCGCGUUCCGUGUAUCCGCGGCGUGCUUGGUGCUGACAGCGGGUGCAUGUGUAUGCGCGGGUGCGCGGUCGUGCACCUCCUCGCCCCCCUCUCUUCCAUUACAUGCUUUGCUUCGCCACUGCUUGCAAUCAUGAGCGCCUGCGCCGUUCUUACUCGGCGUCUCGUAGACAUGCGAGGCGUUCGAGGGAAGCGGAGGGCGAGAGGCGGUACUUCAAUCAGCCCACCGGGCUUCCUGUACGCGCCCCCAUUUUCCCACCCUUCUCUGCCUCCUUGUAAAGCUGCUGUAACGCACUCUUCUUUCUCUUGUGCCGGCUGUUGUGGAGGCCAUGUGUGUGCCAACACCCAACUGCUGCUGCUAUAUAGGCACAUAUACACACACAUAUAUAUAUAUAUAUGUAUAUGCUCAGGUCUAGUUUUUUUUUGUCCGCGUUGCAUGAUUGCUCGUGAACAGAGAGAGGAGGAGGGGAGCAGACACAACGAUCGAUAACAUGGUGUGUGUCCCAAGCACACAUGUGCGUCUAUCUCUGAGUGUGUGCGCUGCUGUCCUCUCAUGAAUGCUGGAUGCCGCACAGGCUCUUUCUCUCUGUGUCUAUGCCCACCCUCGUUUUUGUGUUUGCUUCACGACUGCUCCGUCUUAUCGCUGUGCUGGACUGCUCACUCACACGCGUGCUGUGGUCACUUCCUCCCCCUCGGUCCGGUCUUUCUCUUCGUAGAGCAAGUGCACAGUGCUCUGCUAGCCGCUCUCGCUUUUUUUUUCUCCGUUGUCCCCUUCCCUUCCCUCCCUUCGCACGUACGCGUGCAUGUAUGUGUGCCUCCGUCUGCGUGCGUGCUAGUACAUCUGUCAACCUGCUCGGGGGUGCGCGCUGGCCUCUUGUGUUGCCUCGGCCUCGCUUCUUUCGUCCCCAGCUCUGCGGUCACUUGCUGGAUGAGUCAGACGUCAGAUAAAAGAAAGAUAAUGCUGAGCCGAUCAUGCUGUGCGGUCGCUGUCGCGGGGCAGUCGUACCCCUUGAUUGGCGGGUGUGCUGUUUGUCGAUGCGUG